GGCGGCGUGCCUAAUACAUGCAAGUCGAACGCAAUCUUUGACUAAUGAGUGCUUGCACUCAGCGGUCAAAGUGCGAGUGGCGAACGGGUGAGUAACACGUGGGCAAUCUGCCCAAAAGUGGGGGAUAACACUUGGAAACAGGUGCUAAUACCGCAUCAACCGGCUGACCGCAUGGUCGGCCGGGCAAAGACGGCGUCAGCUGUCGCUUUUGGAUGAGCCCGCGGCGUAUUAACUAGUUGGUAAGGUAACGGCUUACCAAGGUGAUGAUACGUAGCCGAACUGAGAGGUUGAUCGGCCACAUUGGGACUGAGACACGGCCCAAACUCCUACGGGAGGCAGCAGUAGGGAAUCUUCCACAAUGGACGCAAGUCUGAUGGAGCAACGCCGCGUGUAUGAAGAAGGUCUUCGGAUCGUAAAAUACUGUUGUCAGAGAAGAACACGUGAUAGAGUAACUGCUAUGGCGCUGACGGUAUCUGACCAGCAAGUCACGGCUAACUACGUGCCAGCAGCCGCGGUAAUACGUAGGUGGCAAGCGUUGUCCGGAUUUAUUGGGCGUAAAGGGAACGCAGGCGGUCUUUUAAGUCUGAUGUGAAAGCCUUCGGCUUAACCGGAGAAGUGCAUUGGAAACUGGAAGACUUGAGUGCAGAAGAGGAGAGUGGAACUCCAUGUGUAGCGGUGAAAUG
rnacentral:rRNA from 1 species